rnacentral:lncRNA from 1 species
AUGCUCUGGUACCUUGCCUGGCGGAUUGGACACAAGCUUCAUGAUAAAAUUGAAAUCCACUUCCUUAUUGCUGGCCACACCAAGUUUUUCCCUGACUGUGGCUUUGGACUCAUCAAGCAAGUCUACAUGAAGACAAGAGUCAACACUUUGGCAGACAUCGCUGAGGUUGUGGAAAACAGCUCUCCUGUGAAUCACCUCAAUAUCCCACAGCUUGUUGGAAUGGCAGAGGGCAAAGUUUUAGUCCAGACCUUCGACUGGCAGCAGCAUCUGACUCGCCACUUCCGUAGACUAGCACAGAUCAAGAGUUAUCAGCACUUCAGCCAAGAGACCAGGUGUGGUGCUUGCAAAAACUCACCGUGAUGCACAAUAUCGGCUACUGCGCGACAGAGCAGAUCUGCCCCCUAUCGACGGUCUUCCUGUCCUGGCCCCACCUGGACUGAACAUUGACAGGCAGACCUAUCUGUAUGAAAAAAUCAGGCCAUUGUGUGCUGACGAGGCAGGAGACAUCACAUGCCCAGCGCCAAGGGUCACAACACAGAAGAGACCACAGAAGAGGAUGCAAAUGUGAUAUCAUUGGAUAUCAUUUGACAUUGAAAGUGCUUGAAUUUAUUUUGUGCAAGAAGUUUUUCUGGAAGAAAUUCCUCUCUGGUCCCAUAAUGUGUUAUUUCGCCAACACUUCGUGGACUAUGCUUGAUUUACGUUAGUUACUUGCAUUUACGCGUUAUGUUAAGGGUUUCCCGCGUGAGGUAAUUUUUUGUUGUACGUUGCCAUGAUGUUUAUGCACGCACAAAACUACUACGGUACACAAUGUAACCUUGCUCUCACUCGAAAUGUGUCCCCACAUUAAGUCCUUGAAUUUGAGGGUAUUGGACCUGGAAAGUCCUUGAAAGGUUUUUGAAUUUGAAGUUAACCAAGCUGUGGGAACGCUGUAUUAACAACUAUCCAAACUGUUUUAGACCUAAAAGAGUCUUUGUAGACCUAUGUUACCCUUAAAUGUCAGAGAAAAGAACAGAAUCAGAGAUUAAUUUUUUCUUAUAAAAAAAAUUGUACUUUGCAUAUUAUACUAUAAAAACACAAUUAUAGUUGAUUUUAGUUUAUCAUAGUUGAUCAUAACUAGAGAUGAAAUGGCAUGAAAAUUUCAUUUCAUGAUUAUAGUGACCAAAAUGAUCACGGUUAUCACAGAAUCCUGUUCAAAAAUGGUUGUAAAGCUGCAACCAUGCAGCUUUACAGGGGGUAUGGCUUAUCUAAAUGAGAUGUAAAUGAGCCCUAUUGUCACUCCCAGCAGGUGAGAACAGGUGAGAACUGCACAAUCUUUAGAGGCCAUUUUCUCCCUUUUGAGCUCUUUUGAGUGCCUACCUUCAAAUGGCCACAACUUCUCCAAAUAUUAUCAGAUUUCCAUGUGUUACACAUCGUUGAAAAGCUUGGAGACUACACUUUCAGAAUCUGUGAAUAACUCAAAAUGCCCCAGAACCGACUUGUGUCCCUACUUUCCAUGAUUGGUCACAGAAUGGGUAAUACCACUGCGUGUACCGCUGCCGCAGGGCCACGGCGUUAACUGCAAGUCAGUCACGUUUUAAAAUCAUUCGCGAAACUACCGCCAGGUGGCGCAAAGGGAUGGAUUGCGAACUGAAUGUAAUUGUAAAAUGUUGGUUUGUUAAUGGAAAUGAAAGGACGAAGUAAAACAACAAUAACAUUAUAAUAUAACAUUGUAACAUCCUUAAAAACCAUUAGAACAUUUACAGUGAGUUAAUUUCAAAACGUGGGAUAGUCUUAGGCUCAUUUCAGUUCAUUCUUGGGUUAAAAAAAAAAAAAAAG